rnacentral:lncRNA from 1 species
GGAGAGAGCGCGACACUCAGUAAGAUGCACUGCACCUGCAGGCCGUUGGCGUGCACCACCUCUCGCCUGUCUACCAGGAAGAGCCAGAGCAUGCAGUAGGCACCGGUGCAUGGCCAUAGCAACACUGCGAUGUGCUUGGCUCGCGCCACCGUGCGCAGCGCCUGGGCACGGAGCCGGUGGCAGAGGGCCAGGUGGCACGGCACCGUGAAAGCUGUGAUGGAGCCCGUGGAGGCGUUGAUGCCCGCGUCCUGCAGCUCUCCUGUCCUAGUUGCCAGCUGCCUGCCGGUGAAGGACACAGCCGCCAGCAGUUCUGGGUUAACCUUGUCAGCCUGCACUCAGGAGGAAGAGGCAAGUUCUCCGUCCCGGAAUCUCGGCAUUGUUCCAGGAAAGUGCUGGCAGGUGGACAGGAACUCACUGCAGCCAGGGGGAGGUGCUGGCGUCGCAAGAAGGGAAACCCCUCCCCGGGCUCCGGCUGUUACUGCACGAGGUGGCUCAUGGAGAACUGAGUAUGGAUGGGCUGGUUGGCAAUCGAGCUGCAGAGAGAGCCUUGUGCCCUUGGCUUCCAUCAGGUGUGUGCACUUGCCCUGGGUUGCAAAGCGCACCCUGUGCGUGAUGGCUGAAAAGGGUCGCAGUCUGUUUGGAUGCAGACUCCAGCGGCAGCGGGAGAGUUGA